ACGAAGGGUGCAAGCGUUACUCGGAAUUACUGGGCGUAAAGCGUGCGUAGGUGGUUGUUUAAGUCUGCUGUGAAAGCCCUGGGCUCAACCUGGGAAUUGCAGUGGAUACUGGGCGACUAGAGUGUGGUAGAGGACAGUGGAAUUUCCGGUGUAGCAGUGAAAUGCGUAGAGAUCGGAAGGAACAUCUGUGGCGAAGGCGACUGUCUGGGCCAACACUGACACUGAGGCACGAAAGCGUGGGGAGCAAACAGG
rnacentral:rRNA from 1 species